GUUCAAUGACUUUCUAAGUUCACUGAACAAAAAUAUAAAUGCAACACUUUAGUUUUUACUCCCAUUUUCCACGAGAUGAACUGAAAGAUCUUGGACUUUUUCUCUGUAAACAAAAGACCUAUUGCUCUCAAAUAUUGUUGAAAAAUUUGUCUAAAUCUGUAUUAGUGAACACCUCUCCUUCGCUGAGAUAAUCCAUCCACCUCACAGGUGUGGCAUAUCAAGAUGCUGAUUGGACAGCAUGAUUAUUGCACAGGUGUGUCUGAGACUGGCCACUAUAAAGUUUAUCUGGAAAUUUAUCCCCAACUACUCCUCAUUCAGAGGUCAGAUCUGCUUACAGCCAUGAUGAACCUCUGAAUUGAACAGCUUUUUACAUCCAUUUACACCCUGAUGAACAGAGCAGAGGUCCCUUCUUUCAUUUGAUUAAAUCAUAACCCGCUGAGCUCAUUAGAUGUGAUUUACAUUUAGAGAUUUUUUUUCCCUGCUCUGUACUUCCUGAACUCUCUCAGCAUGAGAUCUGUAAUCGCACAAUUCUGAUGACCCGAUAUUUCCUAACCCGCAGAAAUCCCCGCUCACAAAGUCGUGUCCGGCCAUCAAAGCUUGGAAAUAGCACCAUGCUGCUUCAAGAUCUACUCUCAUGUAUUCAGUGUAGCUGGUUAAUUAUGGGGGUGAAAGCAGAUCAAAGGUUCCUGGUAGGUUCACUCAUUAUUAUGAACCAUAUCUGACACCAAAUUAGAGUCAAUCAGAGAAGGAACACUUUGGUCAUUUCUUUUAUUAAUAUUUUUAUUAUUAUUUCAUUAUUAUUUACUUAAGUAAUGAUUGGGCAGCUGUUGUGUCCGUGGAGAAAUCUGGAGGAUUUGGCUGUUUUAGGUUAGUUUUAUAUUAGAAAGCUUUGGAUUUAAUCAUGAGGAAUGAAAAAACUGGAGACACUAUCAAUCAUCAGCCUCCGUUUUUCUCCUGUGUCAAAUUACCCCUGUACCAUCUCACCAUCCUAACUGCAAUUUGAUAGAAAGUACCACACCUUAUCACCCCAGCUGUCAGGGGAAUGACGAACCUGCAGAUUAUCAUGUUAGAGCGGCGUUAGCUAAUGAAGUUUUACAAUUGAAUAUGAAAAAGCUUCUGCACAGCCUGCCGUGCCAAAAGCAUGUAAAACAUACAGAGCAGCAAUGUGUUUGAAUAUUAACACCCCAGAUUGUCGGUGUACCCAUUUGUUCACAGUUUUUUUUAUUUUUUAUUUUAUCCUGAUGAAGAAAGGAUUGAUUUAGAGCUUAUUUUACAUUUUACUUUGCAGUUGUUCUCCUAAAGGCUCCUCAAUAUGAAUCAGAUUCAUGGUGUAAAUUAGAAGUGCCUGCCUCAUCUAAAGCAUCUUCUAUAUAAUCCCGGUGUACUUGAGCUGUCAGCAGGAUGGAAAUGGAAAACACACUGUGUUCACAGCUGGAGACUGACAAUUUCUACCUUUUAGUGUUGAGUGAAACAUAGAAAACCAAGUGAAAAAAACUGGGUAAUUUUUCAGCUACUCCUC